UGUUGCUGCAUCUUCAUUACCAUGUACAUUUGGGCCAUCUGAUACUCUUCCAGUGACAUAGGCAUGACAAUUCGGAAUUCCUUGAUUUGAACCAUUUUUCUUGCAGCAAUCAGCAACCCUAUUACUCUGGCAGAUAAAACAUACAAGCUGAGACAAGUACAACAAAGUUAGCUAGCUUGGAAUAUAUAUAUUGAUCAAAGUGCAGAGAAAAUGAGAGAAGAAACGAGGGAAGAGACAAUGAGAAAG
rnacentral:misc_RNA from 1 species